rnacentral:lncRNA from 1 species
UGCACCCAUACACCUUUCGGAAUGAAAAUCAGUUUUUACAUUAUAACUACAGUCAAGACCCGUAUCUCGAAUAUGAUUACUGGAUAAACGAAGUGGGAGUUGAUGGACUCUUUACCGACUUCACUGGUAGUCUCCACAGAUACCAAGAAUGGACCUCUCCUUCCAUCUCUGAUGAUGAUGCAUCUACCUUAUUGCAUAAGAUUGCAUCAAUGGUCUCAAAGUAUCAUAAGACAUAAGAUAUUCAAUAGACAAUUAUACUCAGUUUCUAGCGCAACCACAAACUAUGCGCAUUCAUUUAUCUUUUUUGGUAAUUAUUAAAAGCUACUCUUUCUUAUUUAAUUCUAUACAUUUCUUUUCAACUGCUCAACAUGGAUUUCAAUGCUCCUAUAAAAUAUUAAGAAAAUUUUAAAAAUAAAUUACACUUUACAGGAGCAUUAAAGUCCGUGUCAUGUCCCCAUCCCGAUGUAUACUGAGAUGUAUACUGAGGGAGUAGAAGUUAGAGUUUCUACUCUACUAGUCUACUGUCGUUUUCAAUGGACCUUUGUACCUCAAGGGUUUUUGGGUAAUAUAGUACUUAUUAAACCAAUGAGUGAUAAAGUGAUUAGGAUUGAAUAUACAAUAAAUCUUGGGCUACAUCCUUAUGCACUACUAAAACACUACCCCUUUUUUAGGAGUAGUCCAUUUUUUAUUACUUUUCUAAUUUAAUUAAGAAAAAAAAUCAGAAUCCUGUAUAUUCCCUCUUGUAUCCCAUCACAGCUUCCAUCCACCGCUCCACUCUUCUUCCGCGAUCAGGUAUUUCAUCAGUUACUACCAUUCCUUUCAAUCAGUAAUACAAUUACAUAUACAUAGAAUAUACAUACACAAAUUUCAUAAUUUUUAUUAAUCAUUAGUCAUAUAUUAUACACAGAUUAAUGGAUCCCCAGUUUGAAAACCAGUCCAUGGAACUAGAGGAGAACGAGGAAGAAGAUACAGAGCAGUUAAAGGCCCAAGAGGAAAAUAAUGAAGAGGAAACAAGUAAAAAACUCUCACCCCCUGAGGUAAACACAAUUUUUGAUUCUGAAACUGAGGUGUAUGAAUACUAUAGACAAUAUGGUAUACAAAAUGGAUUUGGGAUUAUGAUAAGAAAUACUAGAAAAAUCGAAGGAGUUAAUACAUAUAUGACUGUUGCAUGUCACCGAUAUGGUGAGCCAAAUCAAAAGGCACCGGAUAGCUUAAAGCCAAAACCUGUUGUGAAAACAAAUUGUAAAGCUAGACUUUGUGCAAAAAGAAUGGAUGAGGAUGAUAAAUGGCGUGUGACUCAAUUUGAUAAUGAACACAAUCACAAUUUGAGUCCAAGCAAGGCAUAUAGAUUUCGUUGUAACAGAAAAUUAACAAAUCAUGCAAAGAGAAGUCUUAAUUUGUUUGAUGAAGCUGGUAUUCCCAUGAACAAGAGUUACAAUGCUCUUGUGGUUGAACAUGGAGGUCAUGAAAAUAUGACUUUUAGCAAAAAAGAUUGUGAAAAUUAUAUGAGGACAAUAAGAAGGUUGAGGUUGGCUGAGGGUGAUGCAGUUGCUCUCCAAAAUUAUUUUAAUAAAGCCCAAUCAAUAGAUUCCAAGUUUUAUUAUUCAAUGGAUCUUGAUGAUGAAAAUAGGAUAAAAAAUCUAUUUUGGGCUGAUGCACGAUGUAGAGCGGCAUAUAAAGAGUUCGGAGAUGUAGUAACUUUUGAUACUACAUACCUGACUAACAAAUAUGAUAUGCCGUUCGCGCCUUUUGUAGGAGUUAAUCAUCAUGGCCAGUCAAUUUUACUUGGUUGUGGUUUAAUUUCAAAUGAAGACACACCAACAUUUAUAUGGUUGUUUGAAACUUGGCUCACUUGUAUGUCUGGUUAUCCUCCUAAUGCUAUAAUAACAGAUCAAGAUAGAGCAAUGCAAAAUGCAAUUGAGAAAGUGUUUCCUAAUGCACGCCACCGGUGGUGUUUAUGGCACAUAAUGAAAAAAAUUCCUGAAAAGUUAAAAGGGUACAAAGAGUAUGAUUCAAUAAAGUUUGAACUACAGAAUAUUGUUUAUGAUUCCAUUGAGGUUGAUACUUUUGAAUUAGGAUGGAGUUCUAUGAUUUCAAAUUAUAAUUUGAAAGAUAAUGACUGGCUCAAUAGGUUGUAUGAUGGAAGACAUAAAUGGGUCCCUUGUUUUGUGAAAGAUUGUUUUUGGGCAGGAAUGUCAACUACACAAAGAAGUGAAAGUAUGAAUGCUUUUUUUGAUGGAUAUGUCAAUGCUAAAACAUCCUUAAGGGAAUUUGUGGGAAAAUAUGAUAAUGCUUUGAAAGAUAAGGUGGAAAAAGAAGUUCACGCCGAUACUCGCUCAUUGAGUACUACUAUCCCUUGUGUCACACCUCAUGUUAUAGAGAAGCAAUUUCAGGAGAAUUAUACUAAUGAUAAGUUUAAAGAGUUUCAAAAAGAGAUGAUAAAUCUCAUGUAUUGUGAAUGCAUGAUGUUAGAUUCUGAUGAGGUCAUCUUUAAUUAUCAAGUGGAGGAGAUACAAUAUGUGGGUGAUUCUCAAAUGCGGAGAACUAUUAAAUACAAUGUUUGCUUCAUUAAAGAGGUUGGAGAUGAAUAUGAUGUCAAAUGUGGAUGCCGUCUUUUUGAGUUUCGUGGAAUAAUUUGUAGGCAUAUUAUCAAGGUGCUUCUUUUUAAGCAAAAUGUUUUUACAAUGUCAAGUAAAUACAUUUUAAGAAGAUGGAGGAAGAAUGUAAAAAGAAUUCAUAGUCGAACUAAAGUGACAUAUAGUACAUGGAAAGAUUCUGAAGAGAAGCGUAUGUAUGAUAUGGUUUGUGAUGCUUUUUAUAGAAUUGUUGACUUGGCGACUCAAAAGAUAGAGAGGUGCAACAGCUUGGUUGAUACAUUCAAAAAAUUGGAGUUGGAAUGGGAUAAUAAUGAUGAAUGUAUUUCAAAGAAAAUAUCUGUAGAUAAGCAGACUAGUAAGAGUGAAGGUAAAAAGUCAAAAAAUUCUGAUUCGAGUUUAAGUAUUCAUUCACCGAUUAAGAAAAGGUGCAAAGGUCGUCCACCAACUAGGAGAAAGCAGUCAAAGGUUGAUACAGUUGUUAAGUGUCUGAAGAAAAAGGUAAGAUACUAUCAUGCUUUAAUUUUCUAAAUAUGUAUUCUUCUGUUAUAAAUUGAUUUCUGCUUAUUAUAAAUAUUUGUGUUUUGUAGUCCAAAAAGGGUGGGAAAAAGAAUUGCAUACAGUCGGAUCUGAAUGAUUUAAGUGAAGAGCUUUUAACUUUUUUGCCAGAGGAUGGUUUGUUCUCUACUAUAUCGUUAAUAUGGAAUUGUUGUAUUUGUUUCACCAGGUGUUAAAUGUUGGGAGAACUAACCUCUGUAAUUUGAAUUCCUGAUCUGCAUUAUAUAUUUACUAGGGCCAAAUCACUUGACAAAUUUGAGGCAGCAGACACCUGAUGAUGCUAGUGGUAAUGGCAAUAUAGCUUUAAUCCAAGAAGUCAAUGAUAAUAAUGUUUUGAAAGUUGUUGCCGGACUGACUUUUGAAUCUGCAGUAGAUAGCAGAACAACAAGACCACUUGUCUCCGCACUAUCUGGUAGUAUCUAGCUUAAUUUCAAGCAGGUUUCUUCAAGUUUCUUGAGUUUAACUUAAACUUUCCUCUCUGUGCAGUACCAGAGGAGGCUACAAAUAUCACAUCCACCACCAACACCAGUUAGGUGUGGCGUCUUGUUCGAGGCAGUAGUUAUUUUAGGCAGUAGUUGAGAACUUGAAUUUCAUAGUAGAUAUUAGUCUAUUGCAUAUCAGAGCAAACAUUAGUUGUUUUAGUUAAUUGAUUCUCACAAGUGUUAUUCAAAACCAGGAGUUGGUAUGUACCUUAAUUAGUGAUUGUCCAAGAGAUGAUAUUGAUAGUUGUUGCACAUCAGAUGCCUUAUCAUUUAUCAGAUGCUGAUAUGCUUUAGCCCUCUCAACUUCUUUCUUUUUGUUCAUAAUGGAGGCUGUGUUUUUAUAAUUCUUGUUCCCUUUAACUCAUCAUACUUGGUACUAUCUUGCUUGAUCAUUGAAUAUGCCAUUUCCGAUUGCUUAUUGGAUUACAAUAUCAUAUGGUGAUUUCGUCGAAGUUUUUAUGUUAGUAAUGCUGUCUGGGGACUUGUCCAUAAAGAUGGUGAAGAUUUUGGCUAGUUGGUGGUGCAAUUCUUUAAAGCUUUAAUAUGGUUUUGCCUUGAUACUGUCUUUGCUUGUGAAGGGGAAAAAAAGUCUACAGGUUUUGGCUUCAAUUUGGUGGAUUUUGUUCUUAAUUUCUUGCAAUUACAGCUAUGAACACAAGCAUUUUUCAUCCUGGAAGCAAGAGCAGGGCCAGUGAAAUUCUUUCUUCUCAUAUGUGCUUUCAGAAGUACCACUUCUUUUAUUUUCCCAAAUAUAAAAACAAACUAACCCCUAAAAAAAUAGAGUAACAAUAGUAGUUAGCAAUAACAAUUUGAAUUUUUUUUUUUAAAAUGAUGAAUACAAAAUUUAUGGUUAUAUAGUAAUAAUAUACAAAGAAAUACAAAAAUAGUAAUAAAAGAAAUUUUUCUAACUAGAGAAAUUUUAUGUUAAAAUUAUAUUUAAUUAAGAAUAAUAUUUAAAAAGAUGUAAUACAUAACAAUUACAGAGAAAUUAAAUUUAUGUUGAAUCAUAAAUUAAUAUUAUGAGAAAAAAUGAAAAAUCAAACUUUAGGAAAAUGAAACAAAAAUUUAAUAGUUGGUAUUAUUUAAUUGAAUAAAUUUCAAUAAAUUUAUUUAGUAUAAGUUUUUACAAUAAAUCUAUAUUUGAAUAUUUCAAUAAAUUUAUAUUUGAAUAAAUUUUAAAUAAAUGAAUAUUAAAAGUACGUUUAAAACUGAUCCAUUUUUCAAUUUUAAGGACUUAGAAAAAAAAAAUUGAAGUCUAAGCAACGUUUUACACAACCAGCAGAAUAGUACUGUUGGGCCACGUCAACUCCUAAAAAAGGGGUAGUGUUUUAGUAGUGCAUAAGGAUGUAACCCAAGAUUUAUUGUUGAAUAUAUAGUUAGUUGAGAUACCUCAAGGGUUUUUGAAUUUUAAAAUAUUUUUUUCUUAUAAUAUAUAUAAUUAUUUAAAGAAUUAAAAAAAUAUUUUUUUUAAAAAUUAUAAAUUUUAAUAUUAUUACAACAUAAUUUUAUUUUGAAAUAAUUUAAUAUUAUAAUUAAAUAUUUAAAUAUAUCCGAUUUUAAAUAUCCACUUGAUGGUUUGAGCGAACGAUUUGCGCUUUGUAAACUUAUUUGUUCGCGUUCAUGCUAUCACAACAAGAUGUUACCGAGGCUAAAGAUGGAGCAGGGCGUUAGAGCAAAUAAUAUAAAAUAAUUAGUGCUAGUAUGUCUUAAAGAUUUAGGUAAUCAAUUUUUAGUGUCAACUCCAAUAGUAAUCUCUAUAUUUCUCCUAAGAUUAUUUUAAUAAUAAAUUUGAGAGAGAAGGGGAAAAGGAGAGAAUAGACAAAGAAAGAAGAAGAUGGAUGAUUAUUUUAUUCAUAAAUAUUAAAUAGGUAAUGACUAAGGGUUACUUAUAAAUAGGUAAUGGCUAGGAGAAUUAAGGUUGUGCUAGUGAUUUAGGGUAACACUAGGAUAGUGUUGGAGUGCAUUUUUUUGACACAUUACCUAAAUAUGAGUUUAGGACAUCAUAUAGCUAAUCUAUUGGACUUGCUCUUAUGACUUUAAGUGCAUUUACGUAUGUAUAUAGCAUUCCCAUUCAACAAAAUAACCAAAAGCUACGCUUUAUUCAAAAAAAAAAAAAAAACCAAAAGCUACGCUAUGCUCAUAUUCCUUCCUUCAACUUGAUCUUGCCAUUUUCCUUUCUUCAACUUGAUCUUGCCCUUUUUUCCUAGUUGGGAAAUGGGAAUGCUCCCAAAACAUCAUAAAUUAAAAUUUUGUAAAAUCUACCACUAUAGCACAUAAUUUUCUUUUUUGAAGUAAAUUAUAACACAUAAUUAAUUUUAGAUCAUAUGAUUAUGGGGUGCUAAAUAUCUUUGCAUUAGGCAUGUAAUGAUUAUACAUUUAAUAUACUUCUCAUGAUUAAAUUUGUAUCAUAUAGCAUACCAAUUUCAACACAGCACCCCCACUGAUUUUAGAAUAAUAUAUAUAGUAUACUGAAUAAUAUUUAUAUAUGUAUUUUUAUCUAUGUAAAAUUAUCGUUGAAAAUGUAAAUAAAUUAUAACGGUGUUAAGGGCGAUCGGAUAGUUAGAGCAUCUCCAAUCAUGAAAAACCCUCAGCUAAAAACUGAGUUGGCAUACCAAAAACAAUAAUAAAAAAAAAGUCAAUAUCUUUGAAAAAUGACACUUCAAUCAUAUCAACCCCUUGUUUAUAAUUAUAAGAAAAUUCUAAGUAACCAAAAACUGUUCACAAACGUUUUUCUUAGAUCCAAUUAGUAAUGUAUGAUUGGUUUCCCUCACACUAAUAAUAAUUGGACCCCUGUAUGCAUAUCAAUCACUCAAUUAAAAAUAGUCAUAUGUCUGCCAAGUCAUUUGGGAAAAAGUUUUGGGAACAAAUUUUGGGUGACAUUGCAUUUCCCUAAUUAUAACCAACCUCCUAGUUAUAUUUGUCGAUCCACUACAGGUGUGUAAGAAAUCUUUCGGAAGAUUACACAUUACUUAUUACCAUAUUAAAGUGAUAUAUUCUAUUUAUAACAAUUUAAAAUAUUAAUAACAUACUAUUUUUAAAUUAUAACCAGCCAAUAUCAUCAAAUCAAAAUGUCUUACAAGUUCAGCAAAUUUUACAUAAUGUCCUACAAGUCCAAUUUAGCUAACUAUCAUAGCUAACUCUAUUGGAGAUGCUCUUAGUAAGGAUAUACAUUUGGUUGUUAUUCAUAUGUUGAACCUGUAUUCUUGUCCUCACCAACUUAAUAAUCAAUAACUAUAAUGUUGUGUUUGUCAAGAUGAAUGGAGUGGAAUGGAUUGAGUGAAACUAAAAGUAAAUAAUGAGUUGUGUUUGUCAAGAUGAAUGGAGUGGAAUGGAUUGAGUGAAACUAAAAGUAAAUAAUGAGUUGUGUUUGUCAAGAUGAAUGGAGUGGAAUGGAUUGAGUGAAACUAAAAGUAAAUAAUGAAGGGCCGAAGGGGACUUGAAAGAAAAUGAGGUCUCAGAAAGAAAAUGAGUCGAGACAAAUUUUGUAUGAUGAGAUUUAGAUAAAAAAAAAAUAUGCAUGAUAAAUAUUAACAGGAGAAAGCGGUUAACAAUAAAUGUGGGAAUUUUCUUGAAUGUAGAAGAAUGUUACAGAGAAUAUGGAAUGAAAAGUGAUGGAUAUUUUAGCUGAUCCUGUAUUUGAUCAAUGAGAGAAAGAAAGAGAGUGUUCUCUAGCAUUACGAGCAAAAAUCAAGUUAGUGAUACAAGAGGCCUAUAUACCCAAUUUAUAAGAGUUUAAGCUACCAAAUAAUUCCGAGAAAAAAAUAAUCUAGAUGGGCUAACUUUUGUUCCAGUUUAUUAGGCCCCAUGUCUGUUGGAUCAUGCAAGCCACUGUCAAGAAAUCUAUAACUCGCGUGCCCCAAAACCAAAUGAUUAGCUGACAUGGAGCGAGUUAAAGAAUGAAUAUCGGUCUAGUAAGUGGAGAUAGACACCUCUAGAAAGCGGAGAUAGAAAUCUAAAGAGAGCGGAGGUAGAUAUCUCAAAAUAUAUAAUCAUGUCGCUUGAGCUGGGACUGACCAUGAGUUUUCGUGUCUUGAUCAUUAUCUAAUACUGUGAGAAUACCCAAGAUAUAGGGAGUAGUCUUAGAGAGAGCCCACAAGGGAUUUAAUGUAAAAAGUUGGUGAUACUCAAUUGAUAUCAUCUUCUUCGAGCAGAAAGAUGAGGCUUAAAAGCCUUGCUGAAGAAUGAGCUCAAGGAGGUGACCCUAAGCUUACGACCCCGAGUGUAAUAACCCAGCUGUAGCGAUCCCAGAAGUCAUCACCAUACUUAUAGCGACACCACCCUUAGAAGAGGCCCGGAGCAUUGAUAAUCUUCUAAGAUAGUGAGACAUACUUGUGGGUAACCCAACAGAAUGAUGAAGUAAUUUGUUUAUCUUAUUCUUUAAAAAGAGAUUAUUUUUGGAUAGUAAAUAAAUAUAUAAUUUAUCGCAUAAAUAAUUAUUUAUUUUUAUAAACAAUAAACAUGAAACACAUUUUUAACCUAUACUUUUUAAAAAAUAUAAUUUUUUACCAGUCCAUAUCUAUAUCUCACCUAUGUAUACAAGCGACAAAAUCUGAGCAUCUAAAGGGAAAUGGGUGAUACUUACUGAAGUAUCUCUUGUAUUUUAAACAGGACUAAUCGACGACAGAGAGCAUCAAGAAAUAGAAUAUUCUCGGCAUGAUCUGUUAAUAAAGCCCUUUAGCCCAUUCCAAAUGGGUAUUAUACACACGCAUCAUCAAAUGUACAUAUAACCUGCGUGUCAAGGUAAGAAGAAGAAGAGUCAAACACUAUGGUUUCAUCUAGUAAGCAUUUCCAACUCAACCCCUCUUUCUUAUUUUCCUAAUCUUCUUGUGUAUUAUUCAUAUCUUCACUUGUUGAUCAGAGCACAAAUACUUACCAUCUGUUUGUUUCUUCUUUAGUUUUUUUUUAAUUAUUAUUAUCUCUAAUUGUACUGGUAUACUGGUGAUUUUAAAAGGAUUUCUUUUGGAACUAAGCUCAGGCAAAACUGACUCCCCUGUGUUUGUUUACCCUCCUACAUUUGAAGUUGGUGAUUCGUUUAUUAUUUGAUAAUAUUUAUAUUGUUUGUAGUGUGAGGUCAAAGUUUUAAGCCCUGUUUCGAAGUUACAUGAAAAAUUAGGGGGCCAAAUUAAAGGGUAGACAGGAUUGGAACAUUGUUUAGUAGUUAGUGCAUUGAAAUAGCGGGUUGAAUUCGAUAAGCUAAUUUUGAAAUUCUGAUUGUAUGAGAUUUUUAUGUAAGUAGUCGUUAAAUAUAGUUGUAGGAGGUCCAUGAUGGUAGUAAGUGAUGAGUGAAUGUGUAUGAUGGUGUUAAGUAGUUGUUAAUUGUGGUAAGUUAUGGUGGCAAACAAUAGUGGAUAUUAAUGAUGGUAGGCGAUGGUGGCAAGCAGUGUUAUUUAAGUAAAAAAGCGCGCGGAGCACAAAGGGUCUUUUAUAGCUUAAGCGCUAAGCGUGGGCUUUUUUAUAAGAAAGCACACUAUAAUUAUUUAUUAAGGCAUCAGUUCCUGGCACUGAUGGUUUAGGAUUCUUUUGAACUAAUUUAUGAAGGCAUCGGUUCCUGCAUCCAUUGUCUGUUUUGCUGCUUAUGUAGUCGAGUGACAUGCCAGGUAAUUGGGGUUGUUUGAUUUGAUUAACUGUUUGCAUAGCUAGCAUUUUUCAUGCAUUUUAUUGCUUAUAUUCAGGGACUUGAUUUUUUAGCAAAUGUUUUGAUGCAGGUGUUGCCCCUUUUAUUUUUCUGCUACUCGUUCUUGGGUGUUCUGCACGACCUCUUUAUCCACUCCCUAGCAGAAGGAAUGAUAAAACUAAACAGCCCCUUCAAACUUUCCGUCCAUAUAAUGUAGCACAUCGUGGUUCUAAUGGGGAAAUUCCUGAAGAAACUGCUGCUGCAUAUAUGGUACGUCCUUAUGCAUUCACAUUUGCAAAUUCAUCAACAAUUCCUUUAAGCUUUAUAUUAAGAGUUUUUCAUAGCAUUUAGUUCAUUUUGAGAUAUAUUAAAUCACAAGUAUCAGAAGCUUCCAGUUUUGGUGUUUGGAUCAAAUAGUUUACUUAAUUUGCUUGGGCUUCCUAAUUCAUAAUUUUAAUGUCUUGAUACUUUAAAUAGAGGCAGAAAAUAAAAUUUUCUAGACCAUGCUCCGUUUCCAGUUUUAACAAGCUUUUUAACACUUCCAGAGGGCUAUUGAAGAGGGUACAGACUUCAUAGAAACAGAUAUUCUUGCAUCCAAAGAUGGUGCGCUUAUAUGCUUCCAUGAUGUAAUUCUUGAUGAUACGACCGAUAUAGCCGAACACAAAAAGUUUGCAUCACGAAAGAGGACGUAUGAUGUACAAGGGCUCAAUACCACCGGCUAUUUUACUGUUGAUUUUACUCUUGAUGAACUGAAAUCAUUAAGGGUGAAGCAGAGGUUCUCGUUCCGGGACCAACAAUAUAAUGGUCAGUUUCUCGGAUGUAUUAAUCAUUUUAUGUUCUCUCUUUUCUGCGAGCGCAAGUUUUGCAAUGUGUCUACUUGCAAGAUGCAUUCUGCCAUCAUUCACUAUUUUAAUUUGCACUCUUGCACACCAUUACUCCAUGUACCAAGCAUACAAAUCAGUAAGAUGUUGGAAUGAAAAGGGGCUUCUAACUUCUGGUGAUGCCGAUCCUUUGUGUCUUAAUUGGUGAAAACGGGCUGUGGUUUACAUGCAGAAGUGAAAGUAGGUUUUCAAGUAAGACAUGCUAGAUUAGGUUACUUUUUUUUUUUGGCCUGAUUUUUGGUUACUUUUAGACACACACACAUAUAGUCUCGUGGAGAACCAUUUGGUUCCACUUUAAAAUCUCAUUAAUAAUUUUAAAAUUAAUCGUACUUAUUACUUAUGCAUAAAUUUAGAUUAUAAUGUAGAAUACUAAUCAUAUAUAACAUGCACAAACAAUUACACAUACAAUCUAAGUAAAAAAAUGAUUUUAAAAUUUGGUUCUAGUUUCUACUGCAGAACCACUUUGGAUAAAACUGGUUCAAUGGUAGAACCAGUUUGUAUGUUAUGAUUAAUUUUCAACGUAUUUUGAAGGAAAAAUGAUAAACGUUAUUUUUUGAUUUACUAAUUAUAUAGUGGAUGAAUAAUGAGUGUGAUACAUGAAUUUUAUGUGUAUAUAUAGGUGUUCUCUACUAGACUCUAUGUAAGGUGGUUCUCUAUAGAGUGUGACUCACACACACACACACACACACACACAUAUCCGGAAAUAUUGUGGAAAUAGAAGUAGAUACAUUUGAAAAGAGUCGGUUUUAUUCAUAUCAUGAUUUAGGACUUUACUGUUAGCAUAUUACAAAGUAAGAAGCAAAACACAGAAUAUAUGUAAUACUCACAGGACAGUAUGUCUCAUUGAGGCCUUAAAAUUCGAAAAAAUGAAUACCUUUAGUUAGAUGAGAUUAUUUUCUUCCCUAAAGGGCUUGGUUGCAAAUGUAGUUCAGAAAUUGAGGUAUAAUAACUCGAAGAGAUAAACCAAUAGUCAAUAUGGCAUGCCCCUCUGGUCUCUGGAACAUUUUUAUAAAUUAACUAAAAGCUACAGCAGCAAGUGAUGCGUAUAAAACAUAAUCCAAAGAUUCUAAACUCAUCAAAAUAUAAGUUCUUAAUUAUAAAAUAUGUACAUAGCUCUAUUUAUAAAUAUAUUAUAUCCUCACCACGCAUCUUACAACGUCCGUUUUAGAGUACUUUAAAUAAGUUAGGAAACAGAAAAAAAGGUUGAUUUAUAAUAGCAAAGCAGAUCAUAGUCAAUGUUGCAAAAAUGAUAAACUCUUGUACCUUCUAAUCCUAGUCUCUCCAUUUAUUGAGGAUCAUGUGUUUCAGUUAAUGAUAAGUUAUGCCCUUUCAAGUGCUUGAAAAAAAUAAUAUCACUUUCAGUAAACAUUUUGAUUUUCCUUUAUGCUCUGCAGGAAAAUUUUCUAUCAUUACUUUCGAAGAGUUUAUCUCAAUUGCACUGGAUGCACCUAGAAUAGUGGGAAUAUAUCCAGAAAUUAAAAAUCCGGUCCUGAUCAACCAGCAUGUGGGUAACAUAAGUCUUUGUGUGCACAUUAGGAGUAUAGAGUAGCUGUAUUGCAGGUAAUAUAUCUUUUUCUGUACUGAAUUUAUGUUGCAUAUAACAGGUAAAAUGGCCAGGUGGUAAGAAAUUUGAAGACAAAUUUGUUGAGACACUUGUGAAGUAUGGAUACAAAGGUUCAUAUCUGUCAAAGCACUGGUUAAAACAACCUGCAUUUAUCCAGUCCUUUGCCCCCACAUCACUUAUUUAUAUAUCAAACCAGACCGAUUUGCCUAAAAUUUUCUUAAUUGAUGAUGUGAAUGUUCCGUGUCAAGACACUAAUCAGGUUUGUGAUUUUUCUUUGCGCAUAAGAAAAUAUAGAGAAAUUGAAAAUUUAUUGGUAGUUUUAGCCUCAAGUAUUAGGAUUCUGUUGUUCUUGAUGGCAUUUUCCACUAAAAAAACAAGUAUCUGCUGUGAACUUUAUUUAAAUUAUCUGCAAGUGUCAACAAGUACAAUUGAGUUUCAUAAUGUCAAAAUCAAUAUGACAAUAUUGUCUCAGAACCCUUCACAGAUUUUAAAAACAUUAUGUUCUGUCUUCUAUAUAUUUUGAGCAUAUACUUACCAAAAGUAAAUUUAUAGGUAGUUUGGCUUAUUUAGAUUUAGUAGUCAAGGUUUUGAAAUUGCUGGCAUCCAGAAAAUAAUAGAUUUCAUCUAAGAGUUUUACUGUUUUUGACUCAAAUGCUGCUUAUUUGCAUGUCUAGUGGUCACUGGUCUGUUUUUAUAAUUGGAUAAUAUUUCUAGUUUCUACCACAACAAUUUAUGACUUUAAAGUAAAAUGUUUUUCGUUUACAGACAUUUGCAGAAAUCACUUCAGAUGGUUACCUUGACUUUAUAAAAGAAUACGUAGUGGGGAUCGGACCUUGGAAGGAUACGCUGGUUCCUGUAUCAAAUAAUUAUCUGCAAACACCUAACGACCUUGUUGCCAGAGCACAUGCUCAUGACUUGCAGGUGUGUUGCUCAAACUAAUUCAUUCUGACUACUUUUAGUAGGCUGACCAGAAGAGCAAUAUCUCUUUGAUUUAAUAAUAUUGCAACUGUCAACCUGAUCAUCAUUUAUGCUGUCUUUUGAUUAUGCCUUCAUCACAAGAUAUAAAUUGGGAGUCAAAGAAUUUAUACAUACUUGUAAUAAUAAACUUAAGUUUUAAAUUCUACUUGUAAUAAUAUUGCAGCUGUCAACCUGAUCGUCAUCUAUGCUCUAUUAUUGUUUGCAAUGUUAAAACCUACGUAGGUUCUAAAUUCUUUUUGUGUCUUUUCAAUUGUUACAGGUGCACCCAUACACCUUUCGGAAUGAAAAUCUGUUCUUACAUUACAACUACAGUCAAGACCCAUAUCUCGAAUAUGAUUUCUGGAUAAACGAAGUAGGAGUUGAUGGACUCUUUACCGACUUCACUGGUAGCCUCCACAGAUACCAGGAAUGGACCUCUCCUUCCAUCUCUGAUGAUGAUGCAUCUACCUUAUUGCAUAAGAUUGCAUCAAUGGUCUCAAAGUAUCGUAAGACAUAAGAUAUUCUAUAAACAAUUACACUCAGUUUCUAGCGCAACCACAAACUAUGCGCCAUUUUUUUUGGGUAGUUAUUAAAAGCCAGA